ACGCAAUAGAUACCCAGGUAGUCCACGCCCUAAACGAUGUCUACUAGUUGUCGGGUCUUAAUUGACUUGGUAAACGCAGCUAAACGCGUGAAGUAGACCGCCUGGGGAGUACGGUCGCAAGAUUAAAACUCAAAGGAAUUGACGGGGACCCGCACAAGCGGUGGAUGAUGUGGAUUAAACUCGAUGCAACGCGAAAAACCUUACCUACCCUUGACAUGGAAGGAAUCCCUGAGAGAUUGGGGAGUGCUCGAAAGAGAACCUUUACACAGGUGCUGCAUGGCUGUCGUCAGCUCGUGUCGUGAGAUGUUGGGUUAAGUCCCGCAACGAGCGCAACCCUUGUCAUUAGUUGCUACGAAAGGGCACUCUAAUGAGACUGCCGGUGACAAACCGGAGGAAGGUGGGGAUGACGUCAAGUCCUCAUGGCCCUUAUGGGUAGGGCUUCACACGUCAUACAAU
rnacentral:rRNA from 1 species